UACGAGGGGUGCAAGCGUUGCUCGGAAUUAUUGGGCGUAAAGCGUCCGCAGGUGGCUAUUCAAGUCUGCGGUCAAAGACUGGGGCUUAACCCUGGAAAGGCCGUGGAAACUGAAGAGCUAGAGUGCAGUAGGGGUAGAGGGAAUUCCCGGUGUAGCGGUGAAAUGCGUAGAGCUCGGGAAGAACAUCGGUGGCGAAAGCGCUCUGCUGGACUGCAACUGACACUCAGGGACGAAAGCUAGGGGAGCGAAUGGG
rnacentral:rRNA from 1 species